CAAGCACUACUUCUACAAACAUUGGUAAUGAAUCAACACUGCCUCUGCGUAGAUUUGAUGUCAUGUUAGACAAAUUCCUUGAGGAGCAGGGUUUUAUGGAGUUUAGAUCGACUCUAGAGAGGUAUUUGUUUGAGGGGUGUGUUAAAAGCUCACCUGGUUUUGAUAUUUUAGAUUGGUGAAAGAUUAAUGCCACCUAUUAUCAUGUCCUUGCUAAGGUAACACGUGAUGUGUUAGCCACCCAUAUUUCCACUGUUGCAUCAGAGUCCACAUUUUGUAUUGGAGGAAUUAUCUUGGAUCCUUUAAGAUGUUCAUCGUCUUAGUCCUCAUUUGCACUGGCCAAAAUUGGCAAAGGAUCAAAUCAGUCGACAUCUGUGAGUUGGAUGAAUGUGUAUAGUCGAUUGACCUUGAAGACGAUGGUCCAGCUUAUCUUCCAUGUGAGCUAAAAGCACUUUUCUCAAAUGGUUGCCUCAAACAGCAAGUUACCGUGGAUUGCAGUUGGAAAUAUGGGCUGAUGCUGUGAAGGAUUAUGAGAUCUUGAGGAGGGAACUACCUGAUGACAAUGAAGUUGCAGAAUCAUUCUUCCAUGCUCAAGUUGCAUUGAAGAAAUCUCGUGGGGAAGAAGUCCGUUAUAUGAAAUUUAGGGGUGAAGUGGAAGAGGUAUCAAGUCCAUAAUAAGAUUUUUGAAAUGCAGGAGUGUCUGGUGUUGUCCACUUCAAAGCUGCCUCUGAUUUGCAAAGCAGGCAAAUAGAGUAUCCUCGGGUUAGCUAGCUGAUCACCUUGCUCCAUCCAGGAAAAGAAAAAUCUAGAUACUUCAGGAUGUUAGUGGAAUCAUCAAACCAUCAAGAUGGGAUGGCAGAGACUGUUUUCAGGCUUCCUAUCUUCUACAAACAGUUGGAUUUCUUGUUAUAUCCGGCAUUAUUGGCUUUUGGCUUACACAUUUGGGUCAUCAGGAUCCCUCUAUCGUUCAUGGAAUCAGCAAUAUCAGGUACGUACAUAGUUGGUAUGACGUUCUCUUUAAUUGAGUUUGAGAUAUUGUUU